rnacentral:rRNA from 1 species
UGUGCCAGCAGCCGCGGUAAUACAGAGGGUGCGAGCGUUAAUCGGAAUUACUGGGCGUAAAGCGAGUGUAGGUGGCUCAUUAAGUCACAUGUGAAAUCCCCGGGCUUAACCUGGGAACUGCAUGUGAUACUGGUGGUGCUAGAAUAUGUGAGAGGGAAGUAGAAUUCCAGGUGUAGCGGUGAAAUGCGUAGAGAUCUGGAGGAAUACCGAUGGCGAAGGCAGCUUCCUGGCAUAAUAUUGACACUGAGAUUCGAAAG